rnacentral:rRNA from 1 species
AUUGAACGCUGGCGGCAGGCCUAACACAUGCAAGUCGAACGAGUGGCGGACGGGUGAGUAAUGUCUGGGAAACUGGCUGAUGGAGGGGGAUAACUACGGGAAACGGUAGCUAAUACCGCGUACCAUCGGAUGUGCCCAAGUGGGAUUAGGUAGUAGGUGGGGUAAAGGCUCACCUAGCCGACGAUCCCUAGCUGGUCUGAGAGGAUGACCAGCCACACUGGGACUGAGACACGGCCCAGACUCCUACGGGAGGCAGCAGUGGGGAAUAUUGCGCAAUGUGCGCAAGCCUGACGCAGCCAUGCCGCGUGUAUGAAGAAGGCCUUCGGGUUGUAAAGUACUUUCAGUAGGGAGGCGUUAACUGCAGAAGAAGCACCGGCUAACUCCGUGCCAGCAGCCGCGGUAAUAC